ACAUUAUAUUCCUAAACCUCAUCUCCGUGAGUUUAUGUUGUUGGCUGCAGAUUCAUCAGCCACCAGCUUGCAACCUUUCCUUUCGUAUUUCUUUUACCUCUUUUCCUACAUACUGAUCCCAAUCCUAAUACCGCAGGCACCUGAAGGAAUCCAUUGUGUUUGCAAACGGUACCCCUCACUGAAAAUUGUUACUUCAGAAAUUGAUGUUGCACUAAAUGAGGAAUUUCGUGUCAUACCAGGCAUGGGUGAGUUUGGUGAUCGUUACUUCGGCACCGAUGACUGAUUCACCAUGGUAAAUUGCAACCAGUUAUCAGACAACCAGGUUGCUUGAACAAGUAAUAUUCUAAAACAUAUACAUGUGAGAUUAGCUUACCCUUUAUAUACAAGCUACCGACUAGGACCAUCAGACUUCAUCAAGAGGCGAUUCUGAGAUCUUUUAUUUUGUUUUCAUGUUACCCGAAUUGCUCCAUUUUCGAGCUUACGGGUGGAAGAAUACUUGAACAAAGUCAAGUCACCAGGA
rnacentral:lncRNA from 1 species